GCAGCUUGUAAACCAGCCCCUCG
rnacentral:miRNA from 1 species